CAACGACUAUCUUUAUAUACAGUCUAUGGCAGCGACGAGUCAUGUCAGCAGUGUGGAACUAUUUUCGGGUGAAUGAGAGCGACAAAAACAAAGCAGAAUGCAAAUUAUGUCCAGCAAAAGUCUCCAGAGGAGGAGCUAAAUCUACCGCUUACAACAAAAGCAACUUAAUUAAACAUUUGAAAUCCAAACACGACGCAGAAUAUAAGGAGUUCGCUCGCGACACCAACAAGAGACAACCAACUUUGCAGCAGACGCUGGCUAAGCGGGAGAAAAUGUCCAGAGACAACCCACGUGCGGUCAAAAUCACAGAUGCUCUUGCCGAGUAUAUUGCCCUGGAUGACCAGCCACUGUCCGUGGUUGAUAAUUUGGGAUUCCGGCGUCUUCUCUGCAUACUGGAGCCGAGGUAUGAGAUUCCUAGCCGUACCCAUAUCACAGACACGAUGCUACCCAAGCUGCACGACUUUGUGAAAAAACACAUCCACAACCUGUUGCAUGAUGUUAAAACGUUAAGCUUCACCACGGACAUUUGGAGCAGCAGCGUCAGCCCAAUGUCUCUCAUCAGCCUGACUGCACAGUGGAUCGACGAUGAUUUUAAGCUGCAAAAGGCCAUACUGCAUGCAAAGCAAUUCAGAGGUUCGCACACCGGCCAAGCCAUUGCAGAUGAGUUUGAUGUUAUGCUUCAGACGUGGGGCAUUAAUAGAAGUGCAGUCCAUGUUGUGCUACGAGAUAAUGCGAAGAACAUGGUGAAAGCUAUGAGUGAUGCAGAGCUUCCGAGCCUCCCGUGUGUCGCACACACCCUUCAGCUGGCUGUAAACGAGGGGCUGCUGGCUCAGAGAAGUGUAGCUGAUGGAGUGGCAGUGGGACGAAAAAUCGUGGGACAUUUUAAACACUCCGCUUUAGCCUACUCUCAACUGGAGGACAUACAAGUGCAACUCAACCAGCCCGUUAAAAGACUCCAGCAGGAUGUCCCGACCCGCUGGAACAGCACUUAUUACAUGCUUCAGUCUCUCAUUGAGCAGAAGAGGGCCCUCGGAAUAUUUGGAUCAGAGUACGAGCUUCCUGACAACCUCAUCGUCACCGCUCAUCAGUGGUCACUUUUUGAGAGAACUUUGUCUGUGCUUGCUCCGUUUCAGGAACUAACCCGAAAAAUGAGCUGAGGUGAUGCACUUGCAUCCGAUGUCAUUCCUGCUGUGACCAUGCUCAUGAGGCUUCUGACCAAUGAAACGGAUGAGGACCAUGGCAUUAAAGCCAUGAAGAAGACUUUGGCUGCAGCCGUCAAGAGGCGCCUCAGUGAUGGGGAAACAAACCCAAUGUACUGCAUCGCGACUCUUCUCGAUCCGAGGUACAAAGAUCGCUUUUUCUCAAACAGUGACACUGCUACAGAGGCCAAGGAGAUGCUGAUGCUGGAGCUGCAGAGGAUGUCCACAGGAGAGGCAGACAAGCAGGAGGAUCUUGGAGAGCCACCUGUCAGGAAGCUUCCUAAGGUGCAAGCCAGCAGCAGUCUGGACAGUUUGUUUGAUGAGAUAGCAGGUGAGCGGGAAUCAACAUCACCAGGCCUUGCACCAGUGGGAGCUGCCAUUCAGUUAGAGACAUAUCUUGGAGAGACCACAACUGCUCGAGAGGAAAACCCUCUACAAUACUGGGGGGCUCACAGAGUGCGAUUUCCAAUUCUGGCUCAAAUGUCAAAGAGAUACCUAUCAGCCCCAUGCAGCAGCGUGGACAGUGAACGGCUGUUCAGCUCAGUGUCCCACGUUGUUGAUGAAAAACGCAACAGACUCACAGCUGAAAAUGCAGAGAAGCUUCUUUUUAUCAAAAAGAACCUGCCCCUCACUUACACAAAAUAAGUUUAAUCAUCACAGACAGAUGUUAUGUUGACAUGUUGAUCACUUGAGAUACUUAGCCACAGUUUUAUGUUGGUUCUUGAAUGAAUAUUUUGAGUAAGUUUUGAAGUUAAAUAUGUGGCAAAGCUGUUAAAAACACAGACACAGAAAGUGACAAUUUUGUACUCAGGUUUUUUUGGUGAUAUGUGUGGCAGUGCUAUGUUUAAAGCACUUUUGUUAAAUGUCAGCACUCAGUAUAUGACAAAGUUUUACUGAAAUCUUACAGUAUGUGUGGCAGUGCCAUGUUUCUAAAAGCACUAAUCUUGAAUGUCAGUAUAUGACAAUUUUGUUAGUACUGCAGUGAAACUUGUGACAGUCACCCAUGUACUAGAAAAACGUACUGAGGAAUGUUGUUCAAAUAACAGACGAUAUCUGUGGAAAAAUAAAAAAUCAAAGUAACUUUAUGUGUAAUGGCGUAAGUACUUGGUAUCGGUAUCGGUAAGUACUCAAAUGCAAGUACUCGUACACUUCUCGUUUUGGAAAAAAGUGGUAUCGGUGCAUCCCUAGUAAUAAAUGAUAAUUUACUGAUCGGUGCCGGUUUUAAUGAACUUUAUGUUCAACUUCAGAGUCAGAUAUAAUGUGAGCAGUGAACCCCGUUUUGAUGGAUGUUAAAUUUUCACUCAACGCCGCC